rnacentral:rRNA from 1 species
AGUGAACGCUGGCGGCGUGCUUAACACAUGCAAGUCGAACGAGAACGGAAUAUAGCUUGCUAUAUUUGUCAGCUAAGUGGCGCACGGGUGAGUAAUGUAUAGAUAACCUGCCCUUAAGAAAGAAAUAACAGUUGGAAACGACUGCUAAUGCCCUAUAUGCCUUUAAUACAUAAGUAUGCAAGGGAAACGCUUUAGUGCUUAAGGAUGGGUCUGUAUGGUAUCAGCUUGUUGGUGAGGUAAUGGCUCACCAAGGCUAUGACGCCUAACUGGUUUGAGAGGAUGAUCAGUCACACUGGAACUGAGACACGGUCCAGACUCCUACGGGAGUCAGCAGUGGGGAAUAUUGCACAAUGGACGAAAGUCUGAUGCAGCAACGCCGCGUGGAGGAUGACACAUUUCGGUGCGCAAACUCCUUUUAUAUAGGAAGAUAAUGACGGUACUAUAUGAAUAAGCACCGGCUAACUCCGUGCCAGCCGCCGCCGUAA